rnacentral:rRNA from 1 species
UACAGAGGUCUCAAGCGUUGUUCGGAUUCAUUGGGCGUAAAGGGUGCGUAGGUGGUGGGGUAAGUCGGAUGUGAAAUCCCGGGGCUCAACCCCGGAACUGCAUUGGAUACUGCCUUGCUAGAGUACUGGAGAGGGAACUGGAAUUUACGGUGUAGCAGUGAAAUGCGUAGAGAUCGUAAGGAAGGCCAGUGGCGAAGGCGAGUUCCUGGACAGUUACUGACGCUGAGGCACGAAGGCCAGGGGAGCAAACGGG